AUGAUGUUGUCAGAGAAGCCCAGCUCUGACUUCCCCUCUCGUCUGUGUGGUCGAGGUUUGUGUUUCCGCUCACAGUACGAGAUGUGUGAAUGAUCACUAUAGCAGAUAUUAUUCAUCUGGAUCAGAUCAUGAAGAUCAUACAGCUGCAGAUCUAUCUGUUCAUGUUGUAUCGAGCCACAGAGAGUCUAACAAACACACCAGUAACUUUAGGAUCUGAUGUGAAUAUAACCUGUGAUCUUGAUAUAAAGGAGAUUUACUGGUACAAACUGAAAUUACCGGAUCCUCCAGUGUUGAUCUUACGCUCUUUCAGCAGCACAUAUGAAGGAGGUGAAUAUGAAAACAGCAUCUCUGAACACAAAUACUCAGUGAAAACUAACAGUCGUCUGUUCAUCAAGAAUAUCACCAUUGAUGAAUUAGGAGUUUAUUAUUGUGUGAAAACUAGUGAACCACUAAAAUUCAACAACGGCACCAAAAUCUACAUCAGCGACUUUGUCCAAAAGAAUAUUACAGACUCGGUCCACAGGAAUCAGACAGAUGACGCUCCACAACACCAGAUACCAUGGAGAAAAUGACCAUCUUCAUAUCUGUCCUGCUGAAUGUGCUUCUGAUCAUUGCAUUAAUAGGUUUGAUGAAGAGAUUCAUUGAUGCAACUGGAAAAUCUGCUUCUCAAAACUCGAAUAAUCCACAGUGUGCUGAAGUUGAUUUCUUCAUGAGCUCCAGAAACACCAGGCCUAGUCAGGAGCAGAGCACUACUGUCUACAGCCAAUGUACGAUGUGAUACAUGUUAUGAAUAUAAAGUGUACCUACAUAUGUUUUUUUUUUUUACAAACUAAAAUUGACUGUUAUUAUGUUUUAAAUGUGUGGAUUUUAAUUUCCAUUUUCAUUUAUGCGUUUGCUGCUUUGUAUGUAAAUGUGCAGUGUGUAUGAUAGUAACACUUUUUGCUGGUACUGUUUUAAGUGGAGAUCUUGCUUAUAUAUAAUAAUAUAAUCAUUGUUCUCUCUCUAUUAUAAGUGCGCUGACAUGUUCAGCAGUAAAAGUUGUAAACCUCAAAAUGAGCUUU